AUACUUCUAAUUGUUUCUGAAAUUGUCAAUUAGUUUGUUUAUGUGCACUACUAUAAACAAUCAAUUGAAGGCCAAUCAAACUAUUCAACACGGGCAAUUACUGAAUCCAUAACUAAAUAAAACCCAUAAACUGGAAUACAACUUAAUCAACCCCUAUAUAUAAAAAUAAUUGCAAAAUUUACAAAUCAUUAAUGAGAGACUUACUGUUCUGUUUAACAGAGGAACUCUGACACCCCCAAAGCCAUGAUGAUGCCCAUCCAUUAUUUGGUUUUCCAAAUUCUCAACUAAUUGGGAAUAUGUAGUUCAGAAACAGUGUCGAAAUCGGCCAUGGACUCACCAAAGUAACAAAAAUAACACGCCGAAGUAUUGGCCAUGGGGACUCGCCGAAGUAACACAAAUAACGCGCCAAAGUGGUGAAAUUGAUUUGGGAUUCUAUUAUUACUUCAAUUGAAACACCACUUUUUCUCUCUGUUCACUUCAUGGAGUUUUUCUCUUCAUUUCAAUGACUGUUUCGGCUAUUAACCCUAUUCAAAGAAGAGGACGGAUUGCUUGAGAACUAAAGGGGAAUCGCCAAAAAUGGUGAAUUGGUUCACGAAUUUUCC
rnacentral:lncRNA from 1 species